CCUUCCUCCACUGAAGCAUAUCAGCCCACAUAUGCUUUGCUUUAUCAAUAUCAAACUUCCUUGCCUUCAGAAAUCUUAGCAUCAUAUAGUAGUCAUCAUGUCUCCCAGGUAAUAAAUCAUCCAAAAUCAGUGCUUGCCUAAAUUGGUCAACAGCUUGCAGCUCCUCAGCAUCACGAAUAUCCUCAAUUGAAACUGAACUCACUCGUCCAUCACUUUUUCUUCUGCCUUUCUUCUUAAGAGAAUGUUUAAAUUUUGUUGAUGCAUUUAUUGCUUUCUUUUUCAGCGUGCCAAUUCUUGUCCUCCUCUCAUCCUCUGAGUUCUCGAAAUCAGAUUUUCUUUCUCUUCUCUCAUCGUGUGUGGACGACCCCUCAAAGCAAGGCAUCGCAAAUCGAUCUAAUGGACCUGACAUAGCCGCCGGCGAUUACCCGAACCCAAAAAUCUCGACGAUCAGUAGAUCCGAGAACAGAAAAUUCACUAGUAAACUCAGCAGAUCGAAGAAUCACUGUAAAACUCUGGCAAAAGAUGAAUAUUCA
rnacentral:misc_RNA from 1 species